rnacentral:rRNA from 2 species
UUCCCAGACGAACGCGGGCGGCGUGUCUAAUACAUGCAAGUCGAGCGGACGGAUGGGAGCUUGCUCCCUGAAGUCAGCGGCGGACGGGUGAGUAACACGUGGGCAACCUGCCUGUAAGACUGGGAUAACUUCGGGAAACCGGAGCUAAUACCGGAUAAUGCAUAGCCUCUCAUGAGGCUAUGCUGAAAGAUGGUUUCGGCUAUCACUUACAGAUGGGCCCGCGGCGCAUUAGCUAGUUGGUGAGGUAACGGCUCACCAAGGCAACGAUGCGUAGCCGACCUGAGAGGGUGAUCGGCCACACUGGGACUGAGACACGGCCCAGACUCCUACGGGAGGCAGCAGUAGGGAAUCUUCCGCAAUGGACGAAAGUCUGACGGAGCAACGCCGCGUGAGUGAUGAAGGUUUUCGGAUCGUAAAACUCUGUUGUCAGGGAAGAACAAGUGCCGGAGUAACUGCCGGCACCUUGACGGUACCUGACCAGAAAGCCACGGCUAACUACGUGCCAGCAGCCGCGGUAAUACGUAGGUGGCAAGCGUUGUCCGGAAUUAUUGGGCGUAAAGCGCGCGCAGGCGGUCUCUUAAGUCUGAUGUGAAAGCCCACGGCUCAACCGUGGAGGGUCAUUGGAAACUGGGGGACUUGAGUGCAGAAGAGGAAAGUGGAAUUCCACGUGUAGCGGUGAAAUGCGUAGAGAUGUGGAGGAACACCAGUGGCGAAGGCGACUUUCUGGUCUGUAACUGACGCUGAGGCGCGAAAGCGUGGGGAGCAAACAGGAUUAGAUACCCUGGUAGUCCACGCCGUAAACGAUGAGUGCUAAGUGUUAGAGGGUUUCCGCCCUUUAGUGCUGCAGCAAACGCAUUAAGCACUCCGCCUGAGACGCGACGUA